GACGAACGCUGGCGGCGUGCCUAAUACAUGCAAGUUGAGCGCUGAAGGUUGGUACUUGUACCAACUGGAUGAGCAGCGAACGGGUGAGUAACGCGUGGGGAAUCUGCCUUUGAGCGGGGGACAACAUUUGGAAACGAGUGCUAAUACCGCAUAAAAACUUUAAACACAAGUUUUAAGUUUGAAAGAUGCAAUUGCAUCACUCAAAGAUGAUCCCGCGUUGUAUUAGCUAGUUGGUGAGGUAAAGGCUCACCAAGGCGAUGAUACAUAGCCGACCUGAGAGGGUGAUCGGCCACAUUGGGACUGAGACACGGCCCAAACUCCUACGGGAGGCAGCAGUAGGGAAUCUUCGGCAAUGGACGAAAGUCUGACCGAGCAACGCCGCGUGAGUGAAGAAGGUUUUCGGAUCGUAAAACUCGGUUGGUAGAGAAGAACGUUGGUGAGAGUGGAAAGCUCAUCAAGUGACGGUAACUACCCAGAAAGGGACGGCUAACUACGUG
rnacentral:rRNA from 1 species